rnacentral:rRNA from 1 species
AGUGAACGCUGGCGGUAGGCCUAACACAUGCAAGUCGAACGGCAGCACAGUAAGAGCUUGCUCUUACGGGUGGCGAGUGGCGGACGGGUGAGGAAUACAUCGGAAUCUACUUUUUCGUGGGGGAUAACGUAGGGAAACUUACGCUAGUACCGCAUACGACCUACGGGUGAAAGCAGGGGAUCUUCGGACCUUGCGCGAUUGGAUGAGCCGAUGUCGGAUUAGCUAGUUGGCGGGGUAAAGGCCCACCAAGGCGACGAUCCGUAGCUGGUCUGAGAGGAUGAUCAGCCACACUGGAACUGAGACACGGUCCAGACUCCUACGGGAGGCAGCAGUGGGGAAUAUUGGACAAUGGGCGCAAGCCUGAUCCAGCCAUACCGCGUGGGUGAAGAAGGCCUUCGGGUUGUAAAGCCCUUUUGUUGGGAAAGAAAAGCAGCAGGUUAAUACCCCGCUGUUCUGACGGUACCCAAAGAAUAAGCACCGGCUAACUUCGUG